GACGUAGGGGGCCAGCGUUGUUCGGAAUUACUGGGUGUAAAGGGUUCGUAGGCGGUGUGGCAAGUCGGGUGUUUAAUCCCGGGGCCCAACCCCGGACAGGCACUUGAAACUGGGAAUCUUGAAUAGUGGAGAGGUCAGUGGAAUUGGGGGUGUAGCGGUGGAAUGCGUAGAGAUCCCCAAGAACACCAGUUGCGAAGGCGGCUGACUGGACACAUAUUGACGCUGAGGCUCGAAAGCAUGGGGAGCAAACAGG
rnacentral:rRNA from 1 species